UUCCUGUGAUGAGUUUGCCAUGCUAAUACCGAUGCGCCAGAUUGACUGGGCGUAAGUGAGUUCAACUCAGCUUCUCACACUCGCAGUGUGCUCUGACGGAAU
ensembl:snoRNA